GCGCUCAUAGCUCAGCCGGAUAGAGUGUUUGGCUACGAACCAAAAGGUCGCAGGUUCGAGUCCUGCUGGGCGCACCA
rnacentral:tRNA from 1 species